rnacentral:rRNA from 1 species
CCUACGGGGGGCAGCAGUGGGGGAUAUUGCACAAUGGGGGAAACCCUGAUGCGGCGACGCCGCGUGUGGGAAGACGGUCCUCUGGAUUGUAAACCACUGUCCCCAGGGACGAAGAUGACGGUACCUGGGGAGGAAGCUCCGGCUAACUACGUGCCAGCAGCCGCGGUAAUACGUAGGGAGCGAGCGUUGUCCGGAAUUACUGGGUGGAAAGGGAGCGUAGGCGGGACUGCAAGUUGGGUGUCAAAUCUACCGGCUCAACCGGUAGCCGCACUCAAAACUGCAGUUCUUGAGUGAAGUAGAGGCAGGCGGAAUUCCUAGUGUAGCGGUGAAAUGCGUAGAUAUUAGGAGGAACACCAGUGGCGAAGGCGGCCUGCUGGGCUUUGACUGACGCUGAGGCUCGAAAGUGUGGGGAGCAAACAGGAUUAGAUACCCGAGUAGUC